rnacentral:rRNA from 1 species
GAUGAACGCUGGCGGCGUGCCUAAUACAUGCAAGUCGAGCGAACGGACGAGAAGCUUGCUUCUCUGAUGUUAGCGGCGGACGGGUAAGUAACACGUGGAUAACCUACCUAUAAGACUGGGAUAACUUCGGGAAACCGGAGCUAAUACCGGAUAAUAUUUUGAACCGCAUGGUUCAAAAGUGAAAGACGGUCUUGCUGUCACUUAUAGAUGGAUCCGCGCUGCAUUAGCUAGUUGGUAAGGUAACGGCUUACCAAGGCAACGAUGCAUAGCCGACCUGAGAGGGUGAUCGGCCACACUGGAACUGAGACACGGUCCAGACUCCUAAGGGCGCCCGCAGUAGGGACUCCGCCGUAACGGGCGAGAGUUUGACGGAGGAACGCCGCGUGCGUGCUGAAAGUGUUGGGACCGGAACAAGCUGUUACUAGAGAAGAACAUAUGUGGAAGUAGCUGUGGACAUCUUGCCGGUACAAAGUCAGAAAGCCACGGAUAACUACGGG